UACAGAGGUCCCGAGCGUUGUUCGGAUUCAUUGGGCGUAAAGGGUGCGUAGGCGGCGGGGCAAGUCUGAUGUGAAAUCCCGGGGCUCAACCCCCGGAACUGCAUUGGAUACUGCCUUGCUUGAGUACUGGAGAGGAGACUGGAAUUUACGGUGUAGCAGUGAAAUGCGUAGAUAUCGUAAGGAAGGCCAGUGGCGAAGGCGAGUCUCUGGACAGUUACUGACGCUGAGGCACGAAGGCCAGGGGAGCAAACGGG
rnacentral:rRNA from 1 species